UACGUAGGGCGCAAGCGUUGUCCGGAAUUAUUGGGCGUAAAGAGCUCGUAGGUGGCUGGUCGCGUCGGAUGUGAAAGCUCGGGGCUUAACCCCGGGUCUGCAUUCGAUACGGGCCGGCUAGAGGUAGGUAGGGGCAAGCGGAAUUCCUGGUGUAGCGGUGAAAUGCGCAGAUAUCAGGAGGAACACCGGUGGCGAAGGCGGAUCUCUGGGCCAUUACUGACGCUGAGGAGCGAAAGCGUGGGGAGCGAACAGGAUUAGAAACCCCCGUAGUC
rnacentral:rRNA from 1 species